UCUGCCAUUAUUAUGCUUGCAAUUCAAAGCCAUAGCCAAAAUCCCAUCUUUUACUACAUAAAUACUUCGAAAAGUUAAUACACUUGAAAUGCAAAGUUUCAUCAGUUUUCUAUAGUUUUAAGCUGCAUAAUGAUCACGGUAUGAUCAAGCAUAUACUGGUGGUGGUGUAGGUUACUCAACCAUGUCUCAUUUCUCGCUAAAUUAAUCUGUGGCAUAGCGUGCUUUAUCGGAAUAUUGUUGCUUUUCAUCACAGCCUCCGACAUGGCAUUCACAGCCUCCGACAUGGCAUUCGCAGCCUUUCUCACUAUAGGGUAUAUUGUUGCCCCAUUGCAUGGCUCUCGUGACCUCCUUGCUGCGUGGCCUAUCAUUGCCCUAUAUCCAGCAUUCACAGUCGUCUGCUAUACUGCAAACUGUUGACUUGUAUCAUGGCCUUCUCGCUAAUCAGCAUAUCAUUGCCUUAUCAUGGGCUCCCGCUCGUUUUUCGCCAUGUAACUUAUGGUUUAUCUGUAUCACGGCCUCCUCGUUACUUUGCAUAUGGUUACAUUGUGUCAUGGAUACCACAACCGACUUAUUACAUUGCAUAUGUUGCCCCGCAUCUAUCCUCCACAGCCUUUAUAAUGAGUCGGCAUAUCGUUGCCCCGCAUCAUUGCCUUCGCGGUCUUCACGCUACAUGGGAAGUCGUUGCCCUGUAACAGGCUUUGUCGCAUACAGCAUAUCAUUGCCCCGCAUUUACCCUCCGCUGCCUUUAUCGCUAUUUGGCAUAUCAUUGCCCCGUAUCUGUGCCUUCACGGUCUUCACACUAAAUUGCAAAACGUUGCCCUGUAAGUGUUCUCCACGGCCUUCUCGCCUAUCGGGGCUAUCGAUCAACAUGGCCUAUCGUGGCUUUACACAUCGCCUAUCGGGGCUAUCGAUCAGCGUGGCCUAUCGUGGCUUUACACAUCGCCUAUCGGGGCUAUCGAUCAGCGUGGCCUAUCGUGGCUUUACACAUCGCCUAUAGGGGCUAUCGAUCGACGUGGCUUUACAUAUCGCCUAUCGAUCGACGUGGCCAAUGGUGGCUUUACACAUCGCCUAUCGAGGCUAUCGAUCGACGUGGCCAAUCGUGGCUUUACACAUCGCCUAUCGAGGCUAGCGAUCGAUGUGGCUUUACACAUCGCCUAUCGGGGCUAUCGAUCGACGUGGCCUAUCGUGGCUUUACACAUCGCCUAUCGGGGCUAUCGAUCGACGUGGCCAAUCGUGGCUUUACACAUCGCCUAUCGGGGCUAUCGAUCGACGUGGCCUAUCGUGGCUUUACACAUCGCCUAUCGGGGCUAUCGAUUGACGUGGCCUAUCGUGGCGUUACAUAUAUUGCCUAUCGGGGCUACCUAUCCACGUAUAGCCUACCGUGGCACUUUACGACGAAGCAUUUUGUAAUUCUUAUCCUAUUCCUUUUGUGUGAAUCAGACAUUAAAGUGCCUAUGCCUAUCGUGGCUUAAUUUUUGGGGGGGUUCCAAUAAAUAGCUUUUAUAGCUUAAGAAGUCUGAUUCCUUCUUAACAUUUUCUCUUGUUUCAGGAUUGACAUCUCUUCGAUUUCCUAGCAAUCAAGCCAGUUGAUCUAUUUCACUUUUGGGGGUAGGCUCCGCCCCUGCCUUCAACAUCAGGCAGGAUCUGCCGGACUACAGCUAGACCCGGACGAAAGGCGGGGCAUACGCCAAAAUAAUCUAUACGAGACUCAAGCAUCCAUUUAAUUGAGUCUGAUUUGAAUUUCUGUCUUUUAAUUCAACAUGGAAUAAAUGUCAUUCAAACGUUCACUUGCCUUCUGAGUCUUUAUGGUAGAAAUGAAAGCGUCAGCGUGUCGUAGCUGAAGUUCGCCUCCAUCCUCCCCACCACCACCAGGUUGUUCCCUGUUCUUUUGUCCGGGGGUAGGCUCCGCCCCUGCCUUCAACAUCAGGCAGGAUCUGCCGGACUACAGCUAGACCCGGACGAAAGGCGGGGCAUACGCCAAAAUAAUCUAUACGAGACUCAAGCAUCCAUUUAAUUGAGUCUGAUUUGAAUUUCUGUCUUUUAAUUCAACAUGGAAUAAAUGUCAUUCAAACGUU